CGAAAAAAAAAAAGAUGGGAUAGCUGUGUGGGAAUAAGGAUGAGAACAGCUGUGUGGGAAUAGGGACGGGAUAGCUGUGUUCGCUUAAAUGGGCCAGCAUCCUGCCCUGUGGCGGGAGGCUAUGUGGGCAGAGUCAUGUUCGAAAUGGCGUGAGGCUGGUUGGGUCGAGUCAUGUUCGAAGUGGCGUGAGGCCAGGUGGGCCGAGUCACAAUCAAGACCCGUGGGCGCUGUUUCUGUACGAUUUAAGUGAAUUGGUUGUGUAUUUCUAACAGCUCGAGCUUUUGGGAUUAAUGNGUGGGAAUAAGGAUGAGAACAGCUGUGUGGGAAUAGGGACGGGAUAGCUGUGUUCGCUUAAAUGGGCCAGCAUCCUGCCCUGUGGCGGGAGGCUAGUUGGGUCGAGUCAUGUUCGAAGUGGCGUGAGGCCAGGUGGGCCGAGUCACAAUCAAGACCCGUGGGCGCUGUUUCUGUACGAUUUAAGUGAAUUGGUUGUGUAUUUCUAACAGCUCGAGCUUUUGGGAUUAAUGGUUAGCGCCAACGAUCUAACAAGCUGUGUGUGAAUAGGGGUUAGAACAGCCCUGUGGGAAUAGGGAUGGGAACAGUUGUUACUAUCCCUAUUUAAUUUUUUAAAAAAUUUAAAUUUAAAACUUUAAAUUUAAAUUUUAAAAUUUAUAAAUCUAUAAUUUGUAAUCAUAAAAUUAAUAUAUAAUUUUAAAAUUUAAAUUAAUAUUUCGAAAUUUUUAAAUUUAAAAUUUGAAAUUUUUGAUUUUUAAAUUUAGAUUUAAUUUUAAAUAUAAAAUAUAAAAUAUAAAAUAUAAAAUAUAAAAUAUAAAAUAUAAAAUUUAGAA
rnacentral:lncRNA from 1 species